CAUUAAGAAGCUAUAUAAGCAUUAACCUUUUAAGUUAAAGACUAGGAGCUCAACCUCCUCUUAAUGA
rnacentral:tRNA from 1 species